UUACGACCAAAUCACAUUGAAACACCAGUGCGCGUACGAUCACCGAAGUUAAGCGACGUCAUACCUGGUCAGUACCUUGAUCGGUGACCGUUUGGGAAUACCAGGUGCUGUAAG